GGCUGGUCCGAAGGUAGUGAGUUAUCUCAGUUGAUUGUUCACAGUCAGUUACAGAUUGAACUCCUUGUUCUACUACUUUGCCCCCUCCUCACUAGUGCACUUGACUAGUCUUUA
ensembl:misc_RNA Y_RNA Y RNA